rnacentral:rRNA from 1 species
GUCUAUGGCCAUGCCACCCUGAACACGCUCGAUCCCCCCUGAUCUCAGAAACUAAGCAGGGUUGGGCCUGGUUAGUACUUGGAUGGACAACCACCUAGGAAGACCAGGUGUGUAGGCA